AGUAAAUAGAUACCCCGGUAGUCCACGCCGUAAACGAUGAGUACUAGGUGUAGGAGGUAUCGACUCCUUCUGUGCCGCAGUUAAACACAAUAAGUACUCCGCCUGGGAAGUACGGUCGCAAGAUUAAAAACUCAAAAGGAAUUAGACGGGGGCCCGGCGACAAGCAGCGGAGCAUGUGGUUUAAAUUUACGAAGCAACGCGAAGAACCUUACCUAGACUUGACAUACUCCUGAAUAGUGUAAGAGAUACAUGAAACCCUUCGGGGUCGAGGAAGACAGGUGGUGCAUGGUUGUCGUCAGCUCGUGUCGUGAGAUGUUGGG
rnacentral:rRNA from 1 species